rnacentral:rRNA from 1 species
ACUCCUACGGGAGUCAGCAGUGGGGAAUAUUGGACAAUGGGCGCAAGCCUGAUCCAGCCAUGCCGCGUGAGUGAUGAAGGCCCUAGGGUUGUAAAGCUCUUUCACCGGUGAAGAUAAUGACGGUAACCGGAGAAGAAGCCCCGGCUAACUUCGUGCCAGCAGCCGCGGUAAUACGAAGGGGGCUAGCGUUGUUCGGAUUUACUGGGCGUAAAGCGCACGUAGGCGGACUAUUAAGUCAGGGGUGAAAUCCCGGGGCUCAACCCCGGAACUGCCUUUGAUACUGGUAGUCUUGAGUUCGAGAGAGGUGAGUGGAAUUCCGAGUGUAGAGGUGAAAUUCGUAGAUAUUCGGAGGAACACCAGUGGCGAAGGCGGCUCACUGGCUCGAUACUGACGCUGAGGUGCGAAAGCGUGGGGAGCAAACAGGGUUAGAAACCCCUGUAGUCCCA